GUGUGUGUCUGGUCGUUCAAACACAGGGGGCGACACAAGGGAUCCCACAAACCCUAGUUCUUCCAAAAAUCCACCAAAUUGAGAGCUCAAAUUCAUUCUAAAUCAAUUCUCAAACACAAUUUCGUGAUCUCCAUUGAAAGGGGAGUCAUAAGGUAUGUGAAUUUUAUGAAGAAUCUCUAUUUGACUCCUAACGAGCUAGAUGGAAGCUUGUGGAUGAAGCGGGUCAAACGGAGCAAGUACGGAAAGAAAAGCGUGGCAUGGAUGCAAGGUAAGUGAAACUUACACCUUUUGUAGAAUAUGUGUCUACUCUAUAAGUUAUAAAUACAAUAGAGAAAGUAUUCGAAAUAAGGUUUUCGACGCAAAAUGAUACGGGUCGGAUCCAAAAACAAAUGUUAAAAACCAUAGUUAAUGGUGAAACGGGGUGGAACGGUAAGUUAGUCACGAAAGGACUAAGAUAAAAUGAGUUUUUGACGGCUACUUUACAAGUAAGCCUAAACUAAUAAAAAGGUAAAACGGGUCAAAUGGUAAUAUUGACACUAUUUGACAAUUAACGACUAAUAAGUGUAUGCCGAGUCUCAUGCUCGCAGGAUGAACGGCUCGGGAAUUAGUGAAGCUAUGAAAUAGCAAAUAAAUGAAGACAAGGUAUUAAAAUGGGUCAAUAUGUUGAUCCGAGCCAGGUACGCAUAAUUAUGUUGUGGUUAAAAGUGUUAUUUUUGGUCAAAUAAUUAGUGAGAGACUUCGUCUUAAAAUAAGAGACUAGAAUUGACCAAAAAGCCCUUGAUGGGUAAAUCGGGUAAACGACCGUUAGAGUUUGUUUAGAAACUUGUUUAUUGAUUUUGAAACCCUUAGAUACAUAUAAAAAGUAUAGGCAAAAACGUUUGCGGGUCAAAGUAGACUAAGAAGUAAAUUGUGGUUAAAUGCUUAGAUAGAUACAAAUGAAUCGGUGAAUGUGAACACCUACGUAAACUCUAGGAUGGGAGCGAAAACGUUAAGGUUUGACAAGCCCGGGAUGGGUAAAAUGAUAUGAAUUAACCAUUUUCUUUUUAGAGCAUGUAGUGAAAUAAUAAUGCCAAACGGGUCGAAUAAUCACCUAAAGGACUUAUGAGCCAACAUUGGAUAAAUCAGAUUUUUAUGCAAACCAAUGUGAUAAACGGGUCCGCAAUUUAAUUACGGACGCGUAGAUAAAAGAAUCGUGUAAAACGGACAUAUGUUAUGGCCAUUUGAAGUUUAAUUUUUGUUAAAAAAAAAACUUGAGCUGGGCAGAAAAUGCAGGUCCAGAAACGGACCUGCUGGAAAUUAGUUUCCCCCGCGCCACACGACGGGAUCCGGUAAUUGGGGCGCGACACGCGACGAUUGUCGCGACACGCGACAGAACAAGGGACUCCUCCCGCGUGUCGCGGGAGGCAUGAAUUGGAAAAAUUUAUUUUAUUUUCAUUUGUUGAUAAAGGGACUUGAUAAAACUAGUUAUCUUAGUAUCAAAACUAACAUUGGUGUUGGUUUUGAUUACAAGUAAACUUUAGUAAGCUUACGGAUGAAGAUCAAGCUCGUUGAAGGACCGAACACAAUGCAGUUACAAGCUUCCGCACAUAGUUCAGUCGUUAUUUCUAAACGGCAAAUUUUUACCAAUCAUGAUGCAACGUUAUAAAAUUUAGAAAAGUUUUAAUUAACUUGUAUUCUUAAUUGAUAUGUAAUCAUAAUUACAUGUUUAUUUUCGUAAAUUAUACUAAAACAUUAAAAUAAUAGCAAGGGUGUUACAAACUCCCCCU
rnacentral:lncRNA from 1 species